AUUUAUGUGAUCAUUAAUAUUUGAAUUUUGAAUAAUGCAUACUUAUAUAUUUCCACAGAAGGAUGCAGUGUGCGUCGUACACCGAAGUCAUACUGCAACAGGAGCAGAAGCGGCUGUGUUUGCAUUGCCCGCUCACAGGGAAAAAUCACAAACACAACCAGACAGCACCCUCUUCUGGACAAUACCAUUUAUGCAAAACUCGUACGUAAGAUACUGCGGAAAGUAGAGCAGUGCUGGUCCUAAAGGAGAAAGGGAGAGAAGGCGAGAUUCAGUAAUUCAUGCUUUGCAUUCAGUUUUCCAAGGAAAAUACAGGGGAAUAUUACUAUGCUUUUAUUCUUCUGAAUGUUUUAUAUUGAAACGUGAGGACUGGUCAGACGCAGUGUCAGCUUAUUUCAAAAGCAGAUCCCAGUUAUGAAAGAUUCCUUUUUGUCACAGCUUUACCAUUACUGCAAGACCCUUCGGAGGGGUCAUGCCCCAGAUCUGGGUUAAUAAAGUUUAUUCAGAUGCCCA
rnacentral:lncRNA from 1 species